UGGGGAAUAUUGCACAAUGGGGGAAACCCUGAUGCAGCGACGCCGCGUGAGCGAAGAAGGUUUUCGAAUCGUAAAGCUCUGUCCUAUGGGAAGAUAAUGACGGUACCAUAGGAGGAAGCCCCGGCUAACUACGUGCCAGCAGCCGCGGUAAUACGUAGGGGGCAAGCGUUGUCCGGAAUCACUGGGCGUAAAGGGUUCGCAGGCGGAAAUGCAAGUCAGUUGUGAAAGGCAGAGGCUCAACCUCUGUAAGCAAUUGAAACUGUAUUUCUUGAGAUGUGGAGAGGCAAGUGGAAUUCCUAGUGUAGCGGUGAAAUGCGUAGAUAUUAAGAAGAAUACCGGUGGCGAAGGCGACUUGCUGGACACAAACUGACGCUGAGGAACGAAAGAGUGGGUAGCAAACAGG
rnacentral:rRNA from 1 species